GGUUGUGUGAACUUGGUUCACGUAAACAGCAGCCUCUUCAACUUUAGUUGGACGUCGAGUUGAGAACUCAAACUUGGUGUGGCCAGAGCCAUUUCCCUAUUUCGCCUCUAAACCUGCUCUUUGGUCCCCACCGGUGCCCACUGAGUUCCUGGUAACCUACAGAAAACAUAAAUCCCUCCCCCAUCAAAUGUCUUCAGCAAUAGAAGCUCUCAAAUUUCCACACUGGAGGGGAUAAGGAGUAAUGAUCUGAUUGGAAAGGAGUCCAGGAGGAUUGGGGGCUUGUCCAAAGCUAUGUUUCUAGCAGUUACCUAGGAUCAACUAUGGCGUGAAAAAAUUAAAUGGAAAAAAAUCAGAAAUAAGCAACUCCUGAGCUUUAAAUUGUGUGCCACUCUGAGAAACAUGACAUAAUCUCAAGUCUUCCAGCUGUGUCCCUGCCAGAUGUGGAUCACGCCUACAUGCUGCCUGCUCCUUAGUCACUUAGUGGACACUUGGUUACCAGACCGACUGUCUGACCACUGCAAGGCUUGAGUUCAGGUAAUCCUUCAUAGUGGCCCUGAGUGCAGGAGUAGCAAAGUUGGCAAUUUUAUUCAGCAUUGUCACAGUUGUUCUAUUUUAUUAUUGGUCAUUGUUGUUCAUCUCUUAUUAUUAUGCCUAAUCUAUAAAUUAGAUUAUUAUUAUAGAUAUGUACGUAUAGGAACAAAAUAAGAUAUAAGGUGUUGUGGGGAGCAACUGGGAGCAACUCGGACUACACUGUUACUGGAAUUAAGACUUAUUCUAUGCAUCUGCUCUCCCACAAUAUGGCGCUGGGAGAGGAGGAAAUAGCUUCUACACAGCUGCCUCCAGUUCAACCAAUAAACAGCAGGACCUGCUCCUGAUUGGAGGAGAGCAGCGUACUCGGCGUGUGGGUAGCAGAGUUGGGAUUGGUGGAAGAGGACUAUAAAGGAGGAGAGAGACAACAUGCACCAGGAACAUCUCUCUGAAGGAACACCUGAGCAGCCCCCGAGAGAGCCGGCCGGCGGUGUGCCGCUCCCCCGCGGAAGUGGGGAAAGUGGCAGGGGGAACCGCCCUUCCACGGAGGUGGAAGGGACGGUAGCCAACCCGGGAAGAACCAGCAGCAAACCCGGGAAGGGCCGAGCAGACGAAAGAACAACGCAGGGUCCUGUGUCGUUCCUCCACGAAGACGGGGAGCAACAAGAGUUGCUCAAGGCAAGAAGACCCAGAGCCAGCAAGACUGAAACAAAAAGCAAAGGAGGUGCUUGGUCCCUUGUUGUGGCAUCUGUGAUUGAGUUGUGUGAAACUCAGCAGUGGAACCUAGCGGGGUCAAUGCCAAAAUUUUCAAUUUUUUCUCGCACCUCCUCAAACACAACUUAAGUGUUGUAAGUAUUAAUUCUGGAAGCAACUCCAUCACGUUGGUGAAUUUUCACUCAUUUUGAAAAUGCUGAGACCCUGGGAGGGCACCUGGCUUGUCCAAAACCAUGGAGAAUGAGAAUUUCAAGAGAAAAGGUGAACUGCAGGCACCUUGUUCCUCCCUUCACAAGUACGCGUUUGUCGAGGGCAGCCCCCUUGUUCACGUUCUUUCCAGGUGCAGCACACGCAGGUGAAGGAGACAGACGCCCUUGCCCCUGACGAACAGCCUGGAUGUCCCUGUGCCGGGUGCCCCAGCACCACCCGCUCCACCCAGCUGCUGUCUUAGUCCAUUUCCUGUUGCUGUAACAAAAUACCUGAGACUGAGGAGUUAUAAAGAAUGGAGAUUUAUUUGGCUCACAGUUCUGCAGGCUGGGAAAUCCAGGAACAUGGUGCUGGCAUCUGCAUGGCAUCUGGUGGGGGAAGGCACCUGUGGUGAGACAGCAAAUGCGCUGGUCUCGUCACACUUCUUCCUACAAAGCCACUAACACCACCACGGGCUCCUUCUCACGACCUCAUCUAAACCUAGUCACCUCCAAACGGCCUUGGCGUAGGAACCUGGGGGUUCAAUGUCAAACAUAUGAGCUCUGGGGGACACAUUCAACCCCAGAGCAACCAUAACUGUGGACCCGGUUUGGUGAGCUCUAUGUUAUGAGUGAGGAAACUGAGGCCCAAAGGGCUUCAAAUUCCUGUACUGGUCACACAUAGCGGACCUGGGGUAGGUACUAGACAUAGCUGAGCUCAGCAUACCAUAAAAUCUCCGAAGCCAAAGUCCUUUUCAUGAAAUCCGCCCUUAGGAACUGCACCGUAGCAGAUAGCACAUGAAACUGUUCCGGGCUAGGCUGGGCCUGUAUUACUUCUCCAGACUCUUGCCUUUUACUCCAUAAGAAUUCUAAGCACAGACACAAACGCAGUGCGCGGAGCAAUAAACUUUAUUUACAAAGUAAGAGAAAUACACAGGCCGGUUAGGGCUUUAUUUCGGGAGAGUGGGCCAGGGAAGGGGAAUCACCACACCCUGCUCCGCUCCUCCUGAGUCCACGAGGACGCCAGCGUGCUUCCCUUCUACCUGGCUCUUUUAUGAGCUUAGAACAGAAGUGUUUAAGUGAUACCACCCCCAGGCCCUAGUAAGAGGAAGCACUUCUAGGGGAGGGGUCCCCUGAUUGACAGGUAGGUGAGCAACACAGACGGAAGGAGGUGCGGCUUCCAGCUCAAGAACUUAAUACAUUACCUAUGUAAGCUUUCCCACAACAAAACCAGUGCCUAGCAUUAUCUCACUAAUCCCCUUCCCCACUUCUCCAGGUGUAUGGCACAGGGCGGUUGCUCUCCAGGUGUCUGUCCUGUCUGAGCCUGAGUCAGGAUGCUCUGUGUUCCUGGGACUGACUUUAGAUCCGCCUUACUAGUCCCUGCCCAUGCCAGAGGGAAAAUGCCACCUGAGCUCCCCUCCAUGCACUACUGCCGUGGAAGGACGCAGAGGUCAUUCUGCCAGGCUGCGGGGGAGGGGGGACAGCUGCAGCCACGGCCUCCGGCAGGAGGUGAACACAUGUGGCGGCGUCCCCACCGACGUGGGCUCUGUGCACGUAGCUGUGCUGUGGUGACUCCCGCCUCCCCCCCCCC